CAGAAUGAACGCUGGCGGCAUGGAUUAGGCACGCAAGUCGAACGUACUCCCUUCGGGGAGAAAGUGGCGAAAGGGUGAGUAACACGUGAGCAACCUGCCUCCGGAUCCGGAAUAAUCCAGGGAAACUUGGUCUAAAACCGGAUGAAGACAUUGGUCCGCAUGGUCUAAUGUUAAAAUAUUUAUAGUCCGGAGAGGGGCUCGCGGCCCAUUAGCUUGUUGGCGGGGUAAUGGCCCACCAAGGCUACGACGGGUAGGUGGUCUGAGAGGAUGGUCACCCACACUGGGACUGAGACACUGCCCAGACUCCUACGGGAGGCUGCAGUCGAGAAUCUUCCGCAAUGGGCGCCAAGCCUGACGGAGCGAUGCCGCGUGAGGGAUGAAGGCCUUCGGGUUGUAAACCUCUGUCAUCCGGGACGAAAACAAUGACGGUACCGGAAAAGGAAGCCACGGCUAACCACGUGCCAGCCGCCGC
rnacentral:rRNA from 1 species